AUGUGUUUUCCAAGGAUCAGCCCUUGGAAACGUCCAAAGGGACUGACAACUUGGAUUGCUAGGGAAGACUCCUUGGCGUGUGUCGUGCCCCCUUCUUCGCCGUGUAGUCCGCCCGAACCCCGAGCUCCGCCAGCACCGCUCAGCUGGGAGAGGUUUGCUGGGAAGCAGAGCUUUCGGGAGCGUCCCGAGGAGCGCGGCCGAGCCCUCAAGGUCAUCUCUGGGCGAGGCUUCGCAGUUAGCGAAGUUGUGAUUUGGCCUCUGUCCCGCUGGAGUGGGAGGCAGGGAGGCCCUAGUGCCUAUCAGAGUCCUGGCGGGCAUCCUGCAUGCCCAGAGCUUAUGUGGAACUUCAGGGAAGAAAACAUUUUGGAAAUGCUGAGAAAACUGUGAAGGAGUUGCAACCGUAAACAGCAAAUGUGCUAAAGAGUGGGGACUUAUGCAGAGCUAAAAGAGGGCAGGUGGAGCUUGUUCUCAGUUUUUUUUAAUGUGAAGAAAACAUUGGGCUGACUUCAUUCUCGUUCUGCAGAGCUAAAAUGCGCCUUACUGAUUGCUCUUGUUGUUUUAUUUAACACAAGCACCCGGGGCGGUGUGAGGAUCAGGGCUUGAAGAGCCAGAGGCUUCUGAGAAAAAAGGUGAACAGCUGUGGUUCUUGUCGAAUACAAAGCCUUAAUCAUGGUCUAAUCAUCCCCCCAUAUUGGACUUUGGGGUUAGUUUAAGUGUUUUUGGAUUACAAACGCCAGUGUAAUGAGGACCGCUGUGCACCUAACUUACUCUUUUGCAUUAUUUUCAGGAACUACUUUGCUAAGAAUGGGAUUCGUGAUUAAAGAAUGUGAACGUUUUAAUGUCUCUUUUGAGAUAUUGCUAAAAAUUUCUCUAACUGGCCGAACCAAUUUACACUGCCACUAGCAACACAUGAAUGUACCAGUUUUUCUAUAACCUCGCCAACAUUAUGUACUAUAGCCCUUUCCCCCUCAAAACUUGUUAAAUAGCUAUAUACUUGAAUUCAGUUCUUCUAACUCCACGUUGGGUAACUCCCCCCACCCCCAGCAGUUCUACCUCUUGCCCUUGGCAGUGGCUUGAAGUACCAGUAAUACGGCAAGGAUAAAUGGGAAUAAAGGUGAUCCCACAAUAGGGCACAUCUGCCACACUGGGGAAGGCUUUGGGAGACAUCCAUGCCAGAAGGUGCGGUGUCUAAGACUUUAGGCUCUGAAAUUAGUCAGGCCUGGUUUGGAUCCCAUUCUUUCCACUUUCAGGCUGUUUGGUCUUCGGCAAUCUAGUUAACCUCUUGAAACUCAGUUUCCUAUGUGAUACCGCCCUACACCUGUCAGAAUGGCUAAAAUCAAGAACGCAACAAACAAUAAGUGUUGACAAAGAUGUGGGGGGAAAGGAUCCCUGGCGCACUGUUGGUGGGAAUGCAAACUGGGGCAGCCACUCUGGAGACCAGUAUGGAGGUUCCUCAGAAAGUUCAAAAUAGAAGUACCCUAUAAUCCAGUCAUCACACUACUGGGUAUUCACCCAAAGGAUACAAAAACACUAAUUUGAAAGGAUAUACGCAUCCUGAUGUUUAUUGAAGCGUUUUUUACAAUAGUCAAGUUAUGGAGCAGCCCAAGUGUCCAUCAAUUGAUGAAUGGAUAAAGAUGUGGUGUGUGGGGGGCAGCCUGGGUGGCUCAGUGGUUGAGUGCUUGCCUUCGGCCCAGAGCAUGAUCCUGGAGACCCAGGAUCAAGUCCCACAUUGGGCUCCUUGCAUGGAGCCUGCUUCUCUUUCUGCCUGUGUCUCUGCCUCUCUCCCUCUCUGUGUCUCUCAUGAAUAAAUUAAUAAAAUCUUUAAAAAAAGAAGAUGUGGUGUAUGUACACAAUGGAAUAUUAUUCAGCCAUAAGUAGAAUAAAAUCUUGCCAUUUGCAACAACACCGAUGGAUCUAGAGGGUAUGAUGCUAAGCAAAAUAAGUCAGUCAAAGACAAAUACCAUGGGAUUUCAUUCAUAUGUAGAAUUUAAGAAACAAAACAAAUGAUCAAAGGGGGAAAAAAGAGAAAGACAAACCAAGAAACAGACUUUUUUUGUAUAUAUAAAUUUAUUUUUUAUUGGAGUUCAAUUUGCCAACAUAUAGCAUAACACCCAGUGGUCAUCCCAUCAAGUGCCCCCCUCAGUGCCCGUCACCCAGUCACCCCCACCCCCCGCCCACCUCCCCUUCCACCACCCCUAUUCGUUUCCCAGAGUUAGGAGUCUCUCAUGUUCUGUCUCCCUUUCUGAUAUUUCCCACUCAUUUUUUUCUCCUUUCCCCUUCAUUCCCUUUCACUAUUUUCUUAAAUUCCCCAAAUGAAUGAAACCAUAUAAUGUUUGUCCUUCUCUGAUUGACUUAAAGAAACAGACUCUUAACUGUAGAGAACACAGUGAUGGCCACCAGAGGGGAGGGGGUGGAGGGAUGGGUAAAACAGGUGAUGGGGAUGAAGGAAGACACUUGUCUGCGAUGAGCACCGGCUGUUGUAUGGAAGUGUGGAAUCACCAUUGUACAGCUGAAACUGAUAUAUAUGUUAACUAUUGUGGAAUUGAAAUGAAAAAACUUAAAAAAUUUAAAUUAUGAAUACACACACAAACACAUAAAGACUCAGUUUCCUCAACCUGGAAAGUAGGAAUGAGAAAAAUGCCUGCAGGCACGCUGUACAUGCUACAUAAAACUUGACUUACUUCGUGUGAUGUAUGAAUACUGAAGUGCACAUUACAUAUAUAUAUAUUUUUUAAACUUUUUAUUUAUUUACGAUAGUCACAGAGAGACAGAGAGGCAGAGACAUAGGCAGAGGGAGAAGCAGACUCCAUGCACCGGGAGCCCGAUGUGGGACUCGAUCCCGGGUCCCCAGGAUUGUGCCCUGGGCCAAAGGCAGGCGCCAAACCGCUGCGCCACCAGGGAUCCCUACAUAUAUAUUUUAAUACUCAUACAAUUAUGUUAUGGAAUACUAACUUGGUGCUGCAAUUGCUCCAUUAAACCGGUAUUUCAGAGUGUCUGGGUGGCUCAGUCGGUCAAGCAUCUGCCUUCGGCUCAGGUCAUGAUCUCAGGGUCCUGGGAUCGAGCCCCAGGAUGGGCUCCCUGCUCAGUGGGGGUCUGAUUCUCCCCCUGCCCCUCCCCGCUGCUCAUGCUCUCUCUCUCACUCUCAAAUAAAUAAAAUCCUUAAAAAAUAAAAAGAUUAUUCCUCUUUAUACUCCUACUAACGACAUUGAUAACACUGGGCGUUUGCUUUCUUUAUUUAAACAAUUUCUUUGAGUAUAGUUGAUAGAAUGUUACGUUAGUUCCAAACGUACGACACAGUAAUUGAACAAGUCUUUAUGUUCUGCUGCGCUUGCCAUUACCUUCUGUCCGGAUACGCUCUCUUACAAUACCAUUGACUGUGUUCUUUGUGCUGCACCUUUCAUCCCCCUGAUUUCUUUAUUCCACAUCUGGAAGCCUGUAUCACCCACUCCCCUUCACCCAUUUUGCUCAUCUCCACCCUCUUCCUCUCUGGCAACGAUCAGUUUGUUCUCUGUAUUUACAGGUUGAUUCUGCUUUUUGUUUGUUUAUUCAUUAGUGGUUUUUUUUUUUUUUAGGUUCUACCUAGGUAGAAUCAUAUGGUAUUUGUCUUCUCAGUCUAAGCUAUUUCACUUAGCACAAAACCCUCUAGGUCCAUCCAUGUUGUUGUAAAAGCGUGAUCUCAUCCUUUUUAUGGCUGGGUAAUGUUCCUCUAUGCGUGUGUGUGUGUGUGUGUGUACGUACACAAUAUUUUUAUCCAUUCAUCUAUAGAUGGACAGUUGGGUUGGUUCCAAUAUCUUGGGUAUUGCAAAUAAUGCUGCCAUAAAUGUAGAGGUACCUGUAUCCUUUCGAAUUAGUGUUUUCAUUUUGUUUGGGUACUUACCUAGUAGUGGAAUUACUAGAUCAUAUGGUAGUUCUAUUUUUAAUUUUUUGAAGAAUCUCCAUACUCUUUUCCACAGUGGCUGCACCAAAUUACAUCCCCACCAAUAUCACUGGGUAUUUUCAGUCUUGUAAAAUCUCAUUAGUCUGAUGAAUAAAACCUAAUGGCUUAUUAUUUUUUUUAAAUGAUAGUCUUUUUUUAAAUUUUUAUUUAUUUAUGAUAGUAACAGAGAGACAGAGAGAGAGAGAGAGAGAGGCAGAGACACAGGCAGAGGGAGAAGCAGGCUCCAUGCACCGGGAGCCCGACGUGGGAUUCGAUCCCGGGUCUCCAGGAUCGCGCCCUGGGCCAAAGGCAGGCGCCAAACCGCUGCGCCACCCAGGGUUCCCACC
rnacentral:lncRNA from 1 species